CCCUUAGAUGUUCUGGGCUGCACGCGCGCUACACUGAUGCACUCAACGAGUUUACGACCUUGUCCGAGAGGAUUGGGUAAUCUUUUUAAAAUGCAUCGUGAUGGGGAUAGAUUAUUGCAAUUAUUAAUCUUCAACGAGGAAUUCCUAGUAAGCGCGAGUCAUCAGCUCGUGCUGAUUACGUCCCUGCCCUUUGUACACACCGCCCGUCGCUACUACCGAUUGAACGGUUUAGUGAGGGCCUCGGAUUGGUCUCGGCCCGCUCUUUACCGGGCGGCGCCGUUGGUCGAGAAGACGCUCGAACUUGAUCGUUUAGAGGAAGUAAAAGUCGUAACA
rnacentral:rRNA from 1 species